rnacentral:rRNA from 2 species
GACGAACCGUCCAAACGUUGUUCGGAAUCACUGGGCUUAAAGGGCGCGUAGGCGGGCUGCCAAGUCCGGGGUGAAAUCCUCCCGCUUAACGGGAGAACUGCCUCGGAUACUGGAAGUCUCGAGGAGGGUAGGGGCAUGCGGAACUGUGGGUGGAGCGGUGAAAUGCGUUGAUAUCCAUAGGAACUCCGGUGGCGAAGGCGGCAUGCUGGACCCUUUCUGACGCUGAGGCGCGAAAGCCAGGGGAGCAAACGGG